UACAGAGACUGCAAGCGUUAUUCGGAUUCACUGGGCGUAAAGGGUGCGCAGGCGGCCAAGUGUGUGAGGCGUGAAAGCCUGGGGCUUAACUCCAGAAUUGCACCUCAAACUACAUGGCUAGAGCAUUGGAGAGGGUAGCAGAAUUCACGGUGUAGCAGUGAAAUACGUAGAUAUCGUGAGGAAUACCAGAGGCGAAGGCGGCUACCUGGACAAUUGCUGACGCUCAGGCACGAAAGCGUGGGGAGCAAAAGGG
rnacentral:rRNA from 1 species